rnacentral:ncRNA from 20 species
AAGGGUCUUCGGGGCAGGGUGAAACUCCCGACCGGCGGUGAUUCUUUGGAUAAGUCCGCGAGCGCAAGCUGAUGAGGUGUAAUUCCUCAACCGACAGUAUAGUCUGGAUGGAAGAAGACCAGU